GUGCUUGCUUCAGCAGCACCUAUACUAAAAUUGGAAUGAUAGUGAGAUUAGUGUGACCCCAGCCAAGGAGAGCAGGCAAAUUUGGGAAGCACUCCAUAAAAAA
rnacentral:snRNA from 1 species